CAGUCGCCGCGGGAAUACGUAGGGUGCAAGCGUUAAUCGGAAUUACUGGGCGUAAAGCGUGCGCAGGCGGUUUUGUAAGACAGAGGUGAAAUCCCCGGGCUCAACCUGGGAACUGCCUUUGUGACUGCAAGGCUAGAGUACGGCAGAGGGGGAUGGAAUUCCGCGUGUAGCAGUGAAAUGCGUAGAUAUGCGGAGGAACACCGAUGGCGAAGGCAAUCCCCUGGGCCUGUACUGACGCUCAUGCACGAAAGCGUGGGGAGCAAACAGGAUUAGAGACCCCAGUAGUCCCUGUCUCUUAUAC
rnacentral:rRNA from 1 species